GGGGUUGUGGCUCAGUGGUAAAGCACUUGCCAGCAUGCAUGAGUCCCUGGGUUCAAUCCUCAGCACCGCA
rnacentral:tRNA from 1 species